rnacentral:rRNA from 1 species
AUUGAACGCUGGCGGCAGGCCUAACACAUGCAAGUCGAGCGGAUGAAGGGAGCUUGCUCCUGGAUUCAGCGUCGGACGGGUGAGUAAUGCCUAGGAAUCUGCCUGGUAGUGCGGGAUAACGUCCGUAAACGGGCGCUAAUACCGCAUACGUCCUGAGGGAGAAAGUGGGGGAUCUUCGGACCUCACGCUAUCAGAUGAGCCUAGGUCGGAUUAGCUAGUUGGUGGGGUAAAGGCCUACCGAGGCGACGAUCCGUAACUGGUCUGAGAGGAUGAUCAGUCACACUGGAACUGAGACACGGUCCAGACUCCUAAGGGAGGCAGCAGUGGGGAAUAUUGGACAAGGGGGGAAAGCCUGAGACAGGCAGGCAGCGUGUGUGAAGAAGGUCUUCGGAUUGUAAAGCACUUUAAGGUGGGAGGAAGGGCAGUAAGUUAAUAACUUGCUGUUUUGACGUUACCAACAGAAGAAGCACCGGCUAACUUCGUG